UUUAUCCAAAACAUUCAGAUUAAAGUGGAUUUAUUAAGUCUAGAAAAUAAACUUUGGUCGAUAAAAAGAGUUUAACGAACAGUUUCAAUGGUUUUAUGCAGCGCGAACUUCGCUACGUCUGGGCCCGCGACACGGUCGGGCACGCGACACGCCCGUUCGCGAGCCACACGAAAAAAAGGCGCGCAUUUCUCAACCGCCGCCAGCGCGAGCGCACCGUCCGAACUGCCUCACUUCAUGUGAAAGAUGGGUGUAGAGAUACUUUGAAUGGAUGUAAAAACUGGACACCUGCUUUCUCAUUCUCUCCCUCCUUUGUUGGACAAAAUGAAGGACUAGCUGAGCAUCCUAGAAGACUGGAACCUUUAAAAACAUGCAGUCGUCCUAUAAGAGUUGGACUUUCCAAAAGAGCCAGACCCAAGCAGCUUCAUCGAUACCUCAAGCGAGGGUAUCAGACAUAAACACCAAGGCCUUGUUAAGCUUGGUCCUGAAACACCACAGUACAUUAGGUAUUGUAAGUUAUUUCCUAAGUUACUUAUUGCCAAAAAACCAAAAAGAUUAGACUUCUUAAAACUUGAUUAUGAGGUGAUUAUUAGGUGCCUCGAGUCCUUUAAACAGUUCUUUUAGGCUUAUAAGGAGCAUAAGCUUGGCCAGGAUAUGACUAGCUUAGGCAGUUGAUGCUUGUGCCUCACAGAGUUCAAGCAAGUUACAUCCAAAUAAAUAUUAAGGCGGCUUGCUUGACCA
rnacentral:lncRNA from 1 species